CAGUACCUAUAUUACAAUUGUACACAAUAAACCCAUUCAAGUUCAAGUUAUCAUUGCUUGACGAAGGUAUUGUUUGUCUUUCGAAACCGGCCACGUACGACUGCAGUGAUUGACUCAAUAUAGAAUAUCGCUUAUAUCAGAAUCAGAAAACAUUACUUCACAACUUUUGUUUUCGACAUUAUUAAUAUUCGGCCAACACGUUUCGUCUUUCUUAUUAACCUCAAGUGAUCUCGCCCAGAAUUUAUGAACGUUUACUCACCAAGACGUGUAUUUUCUUGUCAGUAUUCUUUGGCAAUGUCUCUUUUCGACACGCCGACACAUUUUCAUCAGCUGAGAAGGCCAUCGCCAAGUAUGCAAUCACAGAUAGAAAGUUCGAUAACCAUAAUAUUACAACGGUAAUAUCAUGAAAUUUCGGCGUAUCAUCAAGUAAAUUCCUUCGGGCCGUACGCGUUAAUGACCCUCAUCGAAUGGGCGGUUUAAUACCUAAUACCCCUCAUUUCAUUAUACUACUUAUAAUCAACCAAAAUUGUAUAAUUUAUGCAUAAACAGGUCAUGCAAAGUCUCAUGAUGUAAACACG